rnacentral:lncRNA from 1 species
AUGCGCCCAGCAAAACAUUGGUUUUGCUUUCUUUUCUUUUCCUUCCUCCUUCCCUCUCUUCUUUCUCUUUCCCUUCCUUACUUGCUUUCUUCUCUUUUCCUUCUUCCUCCCUUUCUUCCCUCACUUCCCUAUUUCCUUCUUCUGUCUUCUUUUCAUUCUCCCUCCUUUUAUUCCCACCCUUCCUUAUUUCUUCUUUCUGUUUUCCAUUCUUCUUCCUUUCCUUCCUCCUUCCUCCUUCACUUCCUUACUUGCUUCCUUCUCCUUUCUUUCCAUCCUUCCUCCUUUUUUAUUCCUUUCUUCCCAAUUUCCAUUCACUCAGUCUCUCAUUAUAUCACAUAUAUUUUCAUGACACCACGUCCCAACAAUAAACAUUUUGCAAAGAACAUUCAAGAGUCUGAAAAAAUUCCAUGAGCAAAGACAAUGUUGUCUCAAGUGACACUUCUGAUUAGUUCAAGUAAGAAUCGAAUGGCUUGAUAGCUCACAGGAGACAGGAACUCCUUGACUGUUUACACCACUAUAGAAGAGAGGAAUAAGAAUGACCCUAAACAGCUCUAUAUUAAAUUAGGGGGGAAAGACAUGAAUAGCAGUAGAGUGUCACCAUAUCUUAAUGUUUUCAUGAAUUUUUCAAGGGCAAUAUAAAAGCAUUUAAUCUGAAACACACAUGUAAGUUAUCCCUUUAUUGCCAUUGUGUUUGAAAGAUAUUAGAAUCCCCAAACAGGUGCAGCAUUAGAACAUCCUCACAUUGAUUUAUUCAUGUGAGUACCUUUCAAUUGUCUUCUCCCUGAUCAGUGUUUGUUAAUCAUUUGCUUAGACUUAAGGUUAAUAUUUUUUUGAAAAUGGAGAAUUUUAUGCAAGUGGAUCUUACAGAAAGUCCAAAUUCCUUUUGCCUGCACAAUCCUGAAAAUAUACAGAUACAUAUUUUUUAAAGUUAAAUACCAUGAAAUGAUCAAAUUUGGUUCUGAAAAAAGAAAAGAUGAGAAAUGUAGCACUUUCCUUUCUUUUCAAAAGUGGGGGAUUAUGCGUAUGGAAAAUGGCACACUAUCAAAUUUUGUUGACAGUUUUUUCCUCUCUUUUUCUAGAUCUUGAUUAUAAGGGAUAUCUUCAAAGAGAAAAGAGAAUGAAGGACAUAUUUGAAAAGGUAAGAACAGAAGAUAUCAAUAAUUUUUAUUAAUAAAAAUAUUCAAGUUUCUCUAAUUCCA